rnacentral:sRNA from 1 species
UGCAUCUGAAGUCUGACGAGGAUGAGAACCUCCGGGGGCAAGAGGUUCGACUCGAGCGAAGCGAGAGAACGUUGCGUCAGCAACGGCCC